rnacentral:tRNA from 1 species
GCGGGUGUAGUUUAGUGGUAAAAUUACAGCCUUCCAAGCUGUUGUCGCGAGUUCGAUUCUCGUCACCCGCU